rnacentral:pre_miRNA from 1 species
CAGAGCUGGGGCUCCAGGAGGCAGAGCUCUGGGGCCUCUCCGCCGUGGCCUGGGCUCUGUUCUGCUCAUCCGCCUCACUCUCUGCACAGGUGA